GUUCGAUUUGCAAAUUUAUUUUAAGGAUUCGAUAAUGUUUUGGAGUUCAGUUUCAAAAUUGACGUUGCAAACAGCACACAUAUUUUAUAUUAUUAUUUCUUAUUGAUUUUAUUUUAUUAUAUUUUAUUAAUUAUUGUUAUUAUUUAUUUAAGUAUUUAUUUGUUUAUUUAUUAAUUUUUAAAAAGUGGAUUCAUUUAAUUGAUUCAAACUCCAAACUCUAUGUUUUUCCAACGUUAUAGGGUUGUUUUUAUUUAAUUUGACACUAAAAUGACUGUUUAACUCUAUGGCUUGACAUCUGUUUUAAUUUGAUUAAUCAAAGUGUGAUCAUAGAAUAAAAAAUGGAUACAUUAUUAACCUAUACAAGUCCUCUAGCAACUGUACA